rnacentral:rRNA from 1 species
GUUGCUUGCAAGGGCGUAUGGUGGAUGCCUUGGCAGACAGUACCGAUGAAGGACGUUUGAGGCUGCGAUAUGCCUCGGGGAGCCGCCAGCAGGGCUUUGAUCCGAGGAUUUCCGAAUGGGGGAACCCGCCGGCCGUCAUGGGCCGGCACCGCGUUCGCGCGGGGGGUACGCAGGGAAGUGAAACAUCUCAGUACCUGCAGGAAAGGAUGUUCCGUGAGUAGUGGCGAGCGAAAGCGGAUCAGGCCAAACCGCGCGCGUGUGACAGGCGCCAGCCGUUGCGCGCGUGGUGUUGAGGGAGCGUGUGUCCGGGUCCUGGCGGGCCCGGCCGGAGUGAUAAAACGGCGUGUGAGGCGAACCGGAUUGAAUGCCGGGCCGCAGAGGGUGAUGGCCCCGUAGCCGAACGCGCGUCGUCUCCGGAUCGUGUUUCCCAAGUAGCGCGGGACUCGUGGAAUCCCGUGUGAAUCCGCCCCGACCGUGGGGUAAGCCUAGAUAUACCUGUCUGACCGAUAGCGAACUAGUACCGUGAGGGAAAGGUGAAAAGCACCCCGGGAGGGGAGUGAAACAGUCUCUGAAACCGUGCGCUUACAAACCGUCGGAGCCUUUCGGGGUGACGGCGUGCCUAUCGAAAAAUGAGUCUGCGAGUCAGUGGCACGUGGCGAGCGUAACCCGUGUGGGGUACGCGUAGCGAAGGCGAGUCUCAAAAGGCGUUUGAGUCGCGUGUCCUGGACCCGAAGCGGGAUGAUCUAGCCCUGAGCAGGUUGAAGCGCGGGUAAGAC